AAAUUGAAGAGUUUGAUCAUGGCUCAGAUUGAACGCUGGCGGCAGGCCUAACACAUGCAAGUCGAGCGGAAACGAGUUAUCUGAACCUUCGGGGGACGAUAACGGCGUCGAGCGGCGGACGGGUGAGUAAUGCCUAGGAAAUUGCCCUGAUGUGGGGGAUAACCAUUGGAAACGAUGGCUAAUACCGCAUGAUGCCUACGGGCCAAAGAGGGGGACCUUCGGGCCUCUCGCGUCAGGAUAUGCCUAGGUGGGAUUAGCUAGUUGGUGAGGUAAGGGCUCACCAAGGCGACGAUCCCUAGCUGGUCUGAGAGGAUGAUCAGCCACACUGGAACUGAG
rnacentral:rRNA from 1 species